CUCCUCCCAGCUGCAUCUCCACACAUCAUUCUCCACCUCUAAGCCGAAGAAACCGAGGGAGGAGGCUCUCAACUUCUCCGUCGCCCUCAUCCUUGCCGCCGGCCGCGAAGAAGAACAACUAUCGUACUAGUCAAUAAGCCAGGCAGAUCGACGGGAACGCCGUCGUGCCCACGGCACUCCGGAGCGCGCUCCAAGCGCUGCCGCAGCCGACAUCGUCGUCGUUCCGACCACUGUAGACAGUAGACCAAACCAAGCCGAGCUGUCGCGCCAACGUCUUCUCCUUGAAGUCUUACUCUAAAACCCUCAAAAAUCCUAGGCAAUGGCGCAGCAAGUGCGGAGAUCGGCUACCGUCUUCUUCACCUCCGGUCGCCGUCGCCAUUGUCGAUUCCGCCUCCUCCGGUGAGCCAUUGUCCGAUUCUUCGCGUAUACACCAUCCCUAGGACCUCACUAACCCCAUGAAAACACAUGCAUGUCAAUUCGAUGAGUGGAUCGAGCCGUUGCCGUCUUCCCGGAGCUCUGCACCGUCGCCGGACCAUAUUCUUCACCGCUGCCGCUGUCCAGACUUUCCCGCGCCUCGUUCAAGAUGAUUGCUUAAACGGUGAAGAAAUGAUUUAGGCGCUGACAUUUUCUUGAUUCAAGG